AAUCGAACCCGGAGAUAGCUGGUUCUCCUCGAAAUAGCUUUAGGGCUAGCCUCGAUUUAGUCUUAUGGAGGUAGAGCACUGAAUUUCCGCGGGGGCGUCAAAGCUUACCAAAGAAUAUCAAACUCCGAAUGCCAUGUAGAUGAUGAUCGGGAGUCAGACUGCACGAGAUAAGUUGGGCAGUCAAAAGGGAAAGAGCCCAGACCUUCAGUUAAGGUCCCCAAGUGCGCGUUAAGUGGAAAAGGAUGUGGGAUUUCGAAGACAACCAGGAUGUUGGCUCAGAAGCAGCCAUCCAUUCAAAGAGUGCGUAAUAGCUCACUGGUCGAGAGGUCCUGCGCCGAAAAUGUCCGGGGCUGAAACGCGCCACCGAAACUAAGGAACCGAAAGGUUGGUAGAGGAGCAUUGCAUGCGGGAAGAAGCAGUACCGUAAGGAGCUGUGGACUGCAUGGAAGAGAGAAUGCCGGAAUGAGUAGCGAGAUAGAGGUGGGAAUCCUCUAGGCCGAAUAUCCAAGGUUUCCAGAGUAAAGCUGAUCUGCUCUGGGUAAGUCGGGGCCUAAGCACAGGUCGCAAGACGUAAGCGAUGGAUAACAGGUUUAGAUUCCUGUACCACGCAUUAUCAGAACUGUAGGGACGCAUGUGGAAAGCACGAGCCGGGAAUGGAAAGACCGGUACAAGCGGGGUAGGUGUACAAUAGGCAAAUCCGUUGUAUGAUCCGAAGACGUGAUGUGGAGCGAAAUAAAGUAGUGAAGCGUGUGAGCCAUGUGCCGAGAAAAGCUGCUAUUGUGUAAUGCGUGCCCGUACCGUAAACCGACACAGGUGGAUGAGGAGAGAAUCCUAAGGCCGACGGAAGAAGCAUUGUUAAGGAAUUCGGCAAAAUGACCCCGUAACUUCGGGAGAAGGGGUGCCUGCGAGAGCAGGCCGCAGAGAAUAGGCUCAAGCAACUGUUUAGCAAAAACACAGGUCUAUGCGAAACCGAAAGGUGAGGUAUAUGGGCUGACGCCUGCCCGGUGCUGGAAGGUUAAGAGGAGAGGUUAGCGCAAGCGAAGCUUUGAAUUUAAGCCCCAGUAAACGGCGGCCGUAACUAUAACGGUCCUAAGGUAGCGAAAUUCCUUGUCGGGUAAGUUCCGACCCGCACGAAAGGCGUAAUGAUUUGAGCGCUGUCUCGACAAUGCAUCCGGUGAAAUUGAAGUACCAGUGAAGAUGCUGGUUACCUGCGCCAGGACGGAAAGACCCCAUGGAGCUUUACUCCAGCUUGAUACUGGGAUUCGGUAUUGCAUGUACAGGAUAGGUGGGAGGCUAGGAGAUGGUAACGCCAGUUGCCAUGGAGCCGCUGUUGGGAUACCACCCUUGCAGUAUUGGGUUUCUAACCAGCCGCCGUGACCCGGCGGUGGGACAAUGCCAGACGGGGAGUUUGACUGGGGCGGUCGCCUCCGAAAGGGUAUCGGAGGCGCCCAAAGGUUCCCUCAGAAUGGACGGAAACCAUUCGAAGAGUGCAAAGGCAGAAGGGAGCUUGACUGCGACACCGACGGGUGGAGCAGGUACGAAAGUAGGACUUAGUGAUCCGGUGGUAUAAAGUGGGAUUGCCAUCGCUCAACGGAUAAAAGCUACCCUGGGGAUAACAGGCUUAUCACUCCCAAGAGUUCACAUCGACGGAGUGGUUUGGCACCUCGAUGUCGGCUCAUCGCAUCCUGGGGCUGUAGUAGGUCCCAAGGGUUGGGCUGUUCGCCCAUUAAAGCGGUACGCGAGCUGGGUUCAGAACGUCGUGAGACAGUUCGGUCCCUAUCUGUCGUGGGCGCAGGAUAUUUGAGGAGCUCUGUCCUUAGUACGAGAGGACCGGGAUGGACGUACCUCUGGUGCACCAGUUGUCCUGCCAAGGGCAUAGCUGGGUAGCUAUGUACGGACGAGAUAAACGCUGAAAGCAUCUAAGCGUGAAACUCCCCCUAAGAUGAGAUCUCUCAUCCAUUUGGAGUAAGGGCCCAGAAAGACGAUCUGGUUGAUAGGCCGGAAGUGGAAGUGCAGUAAUGCAUGCAGCUGACCGGUACUAAUAGCCCGAGGGCUUGACCU
rnacentral:rRNA from 1 species